rnacentral:rRNA from 1 species
UGCGGAGGGAGCUAGCGUUGUUCGGAAAUACUGGCGUAAGACGCACGUAGGCGGCGCAGCAAGUCAGGGGUGAAAUCCCGGGGCUCAACCUCGGAACUGCCCUUGAAACUGCAGUGCUAGAAUCUUGGAGAGGCGAGUGGAAUUCCGAGUGUAGAGGUGAAAUUCGUAGAUAUUCGCAAGAACACCAGUGGCGAAGGCGGCUCACUGGUCCGGUACUGACGCUGAGGUGCGAAAGCGUGGGGAGCAAACAGG